rnacentral:lncRNA from 1 species
UCACCAAUCUACUAGGCUUUGAAUUUCAUGGUUAAUGUUUUGUUUUUAAGUGCAUACAAGCAUGAUUCCUCCUUUUAAUUGUUAAUUGCAUGCUAUUGAUGUUGCUUAAAUGAACAUGUUUUUCACAAAAUUUCCUUCAGGCCACUGCCCCAAUUAUUGCCUAGGUGUUUGAAAAUUAAGAAAUGGUGCCUAGACUUGUUGAGGCGCCCGCCUAGACCACCUAGGCACCUGCCUAGCCCACCUAGACCCGCUUAGGUUGCAACUCACUUAGACAAAAAGUAGAUAACUUUCAUUUUGCAUUUUAUUUUUCUCAAUAAAUUGUAAUAGACUUGUUGAAUACUUAUAUGAACACACAUUAAAUGUUUGUUCCUCAUGUUUUUAUGUUCCAAUACUUCAAAAUAUAUAUGUCAUUCCAUUUUGUAGUUUAUGAUGAAAUUAUUUAUAUUUGAAGUAUAAACAAACACUUAUUUACACGAACUAUAUUAGAUUUACAUAAAUCCAUCUCGUCCCCUAGGCACCUUCCUAAGCCUCGCUUAGCUGCCUAGGUGCUAAGCCCCAACCCGCCACCCGACUAACGUCUAGCAUCUUUUAGAACCUUGAUCUGGUAAACUAUGAGUGACCAUAAUUGAACAUAAGAUGAGAGAAAUCGGUUAAGGUGGUUUGGACAUGUGAAUCGAAGACUUACAUAUGCGAUUAUGAGACAAGCUCAUGGUAAAAGGGGUAGAGGAAGACUUAAGAAGACUUUGAAAGAGACUCUAAGAAAAGACAUGGAGUAUUUGGAGCUAAUAGAAGACUUGGCACAAAAUCAAGACAAUGACAUUCUAGGAUUCGAACAUCUGACCUCACUUAGUGGGAUAAGACUUUGCUGUUAUUAUUGUUGCUACUGUUGUAGUUAGUGUGCAAUUACUUGUAUGUUAGGAUUCAUUUGAAGGCAAAAGAAAAAAAAUAUGGUAUUUUUGAAUUUUGUGAGAGUCAAACGUGGAGAAGUGAAGGUUGGUGCUAAUUGAAGUUCAAAUAAGCUUUAGAGAUAAUUCAAGAUGAAUCUGGCCUUUUAAAUGACCACAAGCACAAUGAUAAGAGGAAUUGGGAUUUCUAGCAUGAUUUGGACAUGUCAAAUAACAAAAACACGUUCAAAAUCUUAGCUUAAUGUGUUGGAAAUGUGCCUUAAAGUCAAUCAUAUGAUGAUACUUUACGGACAUUACACAUGUUAAACUAAUUUAGUUUAAUAUAAAGGGCAAAGAUUAUUGUUUAAAGCCGUCUCAUAUAAAUAUUAUAUGUGAUGUGAUAUAAACUAGCACACAAAUUAAACCCUAUUUAGAUAGCUGUAGUAUAUGAAAGUAGGGAUCGUUUUCGGCUGGGGAUUAACUAGGGCUACUAAUCUACACAAAUAUGACUCAAAAACACAAAACUAGACUUAAAAACACUUAACUAGACUCUAAAAACUCAAAAUACACUAAGCAGACUCAAAACAGCACAAUAUUAGCAAUUAGACUCAAAACAGACUCUAGGGAGUAUUUGGAUGAAUUUAAGACUAGUAAGACUCAAAAUACUAAAAUGAACAGAUUCAAACACGUUUCUUACUAAGUUAACACACUUAAUUAAAGGGGGACUUGUUUUGGACCAAAUUAACUAAACUAAACAAAUUACUAAUGUGAAAUAUAUAAGCACACUCAAAUUAAACCCUCUUUUGACAAUUGUAGUAUAUAUGUAAGUAGGGAUCGUUCUUAAACCAGGGAUUAGGAGGGAUUGCUAAACACUCUAAAUUGACUCAAAUAGAUAAAACUAAGCUUUAAAACACUUAACUAGACUCAAAAGACUCAAAACGAGUUCACAAGACUCAAAAUAAGCUAAAAACACUCAAAACUACCUAAAAACACAAACUGGGCAGAUUUGGACUCUAAACACAAUUUUGGAUGAAUUUUAGUUUUUCCUUGACUCAAAACACUUAAAAACACAAUCUAAACAGAUUCUAACUAGUUAGACACUCUAAAGUAAAGGGGAACUCGGUUUUGGACGAAAAUAAAGUAAAACAAAGCAAGAACUAAAACUAGGCAGAUUGCACAAAUUUGGUGGAAUAGAUGAAUCAUGGGCUAACUAGGAGGUUUUUCUCCACACUUGACAUACUUGCAUACAAAACAAUUUCCAGUUGCUUUUUCAAUGAACCAUGAACCUCAACACCUCAAGUUAAUUAGGUACGCUUAAAUUAACCCUCAGAUUUCCCUUAAGUCAUUGAAUUGAAUGGAAAUAGCGCAUUGCAAUCAAAUUAUUCCUUAAAAGUUCCCUACAUGAAAGCUCAUAAUAGAGAAACAAUUAAAGAUUAUUAAGUUCUAUGGAAAUCAUAAGUGUUGACAAGGCAUUCGUAACUAUGAAAGCGCAUGAUACUUAUGUCAAGAAUUUACUUAACAUGAUUGUGGCUAACAACCUUUACUACUUAUGAAUAUAAGUUCAUAACGAUUAGGUGAAACUCCCUUAUAUCCUAGCAUCAUAUUUAUGCAUGCAAAUUAAGUGUGCACUCUCAACCCACAUACACAAACAAGUCUUAAUUCAAACAGAUAAGUAAAUUGAUUUCACAAUUCAUGAAAUCACAACUGGAUGUAAUCAAAUCAUAUUGCAAGAAUAGCCAUGGUUUCGAAAUUCCCCCUAGCUAAUAGGGGUUUAGUUCCUCAUACUCACUGAUGUGAUUUACUUGACACACAAAUUAAACCCUCUUUUUGACAAUUGUAGUAUAGAUGUAAGUAGGGUAUCGUUCUAGGCCGGGGAUUAGGAGGGAUUGCUAAUCUAUUCUAAAUUAAUUUAAAAAUAUUAAACAAGACUCAAGGACACAAAACUAGGCUAAAAACUCUAAUAACUCGAAACACACUUAGGAUGACUCAAAAUAAUGAAAACAAUCAAAUUGAACACUAGGAACUGAAAUGGACGGAAAUUGAAUUAAAAGACUAAAAACAAUGAAAAUUAACUAAAUAAUAUAAUUUAAUAAUGGGGGGGGUUUGGUUUUGACGAGAAGUAAAUUAAACUUAAAUAAAUUACAGAAUUGACAAAAGCAUGAAUUAAGGUGAAAGGAUAGGUGACGGACUAGCUAGAGGGUUCUUCUCCACACAUGACACAUAUGCAACCUAAAUUGAUUUUCAAUUGUUCUUUCAAUAAAUUGUAAAUCUCAACGCCCCAAAUUAACCGUGAAUUGCACUAAUUAACCCUCAGUUUUUCCACAAGUUAUUAGGUUGGAU